rnacentral:lncRNA from 1 species
GCCUGCUCUGCGAUUUCUGAAAGUUCCCUGUAACUGCUCCUUUCAUUGAAAAUGCUUGUGGUUUCAGGUGGUUGAAGGCCAUGCAGAGUCCUCUGCGCAGCUGCCCAUUGUGCUUCCCUUUCCUCUUUCCCGUAAUCUUUCUUCGUAGUGAAGGCAGUCUGCAAUGGUUUUCAAUGAGACCCAAACAUCAAUCAAAUCACCAAGAAAUAUAGGCAAAUUUGCACAAAGGAGGACUCUAAUCGUACCUUGUUCUCCAAAAGGUUAUCCCAAGCCUUUCCACUAAGAACAUAGCGGAUUGCAAAUUUGAUAAAAUCCAGUGGGAUAAAAGUCACCACACUGUAUAGCCAGAUUACACCAGCCCAUCCCCAACCCAUACCUUUAAUCCUUGCAAACCCCCAUUCUGCAUACACAGCUAUUAAAGUGGCCACCUGCCAAAAAUCAAAGUGGGUCAUUUAUAAUCAUAAAAUUAGUUAAAUGGAUAUCUUAUACGAUUUAGUUAAAUUUUCUUACCAACUGAGCAACUAGAAAGGCACUGACUAGUAGAAGUCCAGGGCGUUCAAAGUAGGACCAGCUGCGAGACCUUGUGACAAAAAUGAGGGCCUGACUCACAAUACUAACUUGAAGGUAUAAAGCUGCCAUCAUUUCUCUCUCACCAUCAAUACUAUGC